rnacentral:rRNA from 1 species
UACGUAGGGUGCAAGCGUUAAUCGGAAUUACUGGGCGUAAAGCGUGCGCAGGCGGCUUUGCAAGACAGAUGUGAAAUCCCCCGGGCUUAACCUGGGAACUGCAUUUGUGACUGCAUGGCUGGAGUGCGGCAGAGGGGGAUGGAAUUCCGCGUGUAGCAGUGAAAUGCGUAGAUAUGCGGAGGAACACCGAUGGCGAAGGCAAUCCCCUGGGCCUGCACUGACGCUCAUGCACGAAAGCG